UACGUAGGUGGCAAGCGUUGUCCGGAUUUACUGGGCGUAAAGAGCGCGCAGGCGGUCGUCCAAGUCGCGUGUGAAAGCCCCCGGCUCAACUGGGGAGGGUCACGCGAUACUGUCCGACUCGAAGGCAGGAGAGGGAAGCGGAAUUCCCGGUGUAGUGGUGAAAUGCGUAGAUAUCGGGAGGAACACCAGUGGCGAAGGCGGCUUUCUGGCCUGUUCUUGACGCUGAGGCGCGAAAGCUAGGGGAGCGAACGGGG
rnacentral:rRNA from 1 species